AGCAGCCGCGGUAAUUCCAGCUCCAAUAGCGUAUAUUAAAGUUGUUGCAGUUAAAAAGCUCGUAGUUGAAUUUCGGGAUUUAUCCGUCGGUCGGGCUUUCGGGUCUGUACUGGCGUGAUGGAUUCCUACCUUCUGAAUAACCGGCAUGUCAUUAAUUUGGUGCGCCGGGGAAGCAGGACUGUUACCUUGAAAAAUUAGAGUGCUUAAAGCAGGCUUAUGCCUGAAUACAUUAGCAUGGAAUAAUGAAAUAGGACGGCAUGGUUCUAUUUUGUUGGUUUCUAGGAUUCGCCGUAAUGAUUAAUAGGGAUAGUUGGGGGCAUUAGUAUUCAAUUGUCAGAGGUGAAAUUCUUGGAUUUAUUGAAGACUAACUUCUGCGAAAGCACUUGCCAAGGAUGUUUUCAUUAAUCAAGAACGAAAGUUAGGGGAUCGAAGACGAUCAGAUACCGUCGU
rnacentral:rRNA from 1 species